GACGAACGCUGGCGGCGUGCUUAACACAUGCAAGUCGAACGGAAAGGCCCUGCUUUUGUGGGGUGCUCGAGUGGCGAACGGGUGAGUAACACGUGAGUAACCUGCCCUUGACUUUGGGAUAACUUCAGGAAACUGGGGCUAAUACCGGAUAGGAGCUCCUGCUGCAUGGUGGGGGUUGGAAAGUUUCGGCGGUGGGGGAUGGACUCGCGGCUUAUCAGCUGGUUGGUGGGGUAGUGGCUUACCAAGGCUUUGACGGGUAGCCGGCCUGAGAGGGUGACCGGCGACAUGGGGACUGAGAUACGGCCCAGACGCGUACGGGAGGCAGCAGGGGGGAAUAUUGCACAAUGGGCGGAAGCCUGAUGCAGCAACGCCGCGUGCGGGAUGACGGCCUUCGGGUUGUAAACCGCUUUCGCCUGUGACGAAGCGUGAGUGACGGUAAUGGGUAAAGAAGCACCGGCUAACUACGUG
rnacentral:rRNA from 1 species